AAGGUGAUGCCUGCCAGUGACACCACGUUUAACGGCCGCGGUAUCCUAACCGUGCGAAGGUAGCGCAAUCAAUUGUCUCAUAAAUCGAGACCUGUAUGAAUGGCUAAACGAGGCCUUAACUGUCUCUUACAGAAAAUCAGUGAAAUUGAUCUCCCCGUGACAAAGCGAGAAUAUACUCAUAAGACGAGAAGACCCUGUGGAACUUAAAAAUCAACGGCCACCGCACACAGCCCCAAAGUCAGACAGGCUCACACGAUCACCAACGCUGGCCUGUAUUUUUUGGUUGGGGCGACCUUGGAGCAAAACAGAACCUCCAAACCCAAGAGCACGUCUCUUAACUAAGAACAACCCUUCAAAGUACCAACAGUGACCAGACCCAAGACAACUUGAUCAAUGGACCAAGCUACCCCAGGGAUAACAGCGCAAUCCCCCCCAAGAGCCCAUAUCGACGAGGGGGUUUACGACCUCGAUGUUGGAUCAGGACACCCUAAUGGUGCAGCCGCUAUUAAGGGUUCGUUUGUUCAACGAUUAAUAGUCCUACGUGAUCUGAGUUCAGACCGG
rnacentral:rRNA from 1 species